rnacentral:rRNA from 1 species
GAUGAACGCUGGCGGCGUGCCUAAUACAUGCAAGUCGAGCGAACGGACGAGAAGCUUGCUUCUCUGAUGUUAGCGGCGGACGGGUGAGUAACACGUGGAUAACCUACCUAUAAGACUGGGAUAACUUCGGGAAACCGGAGCUAAUACCGGAUAAUAUUUUGAACCGCAUGGUUCAAAAGUGAAAGACGGUCUUGCUGUCACUUAUAGAUGGAUCCGCGCUGCAUUAGCUAGUUGGUAAGGUAACGGCUUACCAAGGCAACGAUGCAUAGCCGACCUGAGAGGGUGAUCGGCCACACUGGAACUGAGACACGGUCCAGACUCCUACGGGAGGCAGCAGUAGGGAAUCUUCCGCAAUGGGCGAAAGCCUGACGGAGCAACGCCGCGUGAGUGAUGAAGGUCUUCGGAUCGUAAAACUCUGUUAUUAGGGAAGAACAUAUGUGUAAGUAACUGUGCACAUCUUGACGGUACCUAAUCAGAAAGCCACGGCUAACUACGUGCCAGCAGCCGCGGUAAUACGUAGGUGGCAAGCGUUAUCCGGAAUUAUUGGGCGUAAAGCGCGCGUAGGCGGUUUUUUAAGUCUGAUGUGAAAGCCCACGGCUCAACCGUGGAGGGUCAUUGGAAACUGGAAAACUUGAGUGCAGAAGAGGAAAGUGGAAUUCCAUGUGUAGCGGUGAAAUGCGCAGAGAUAUGGAGGAACACCAGUGGCGAAGGCGACUUUCUGGUCUGUAACUGACGCUGAUGUGCGAAAGCGUGGGGAUCAAACAGGAUUAGAUACCCUGGUAGUCCACGCCGUAAACGAUGAGUGCUAAGUGUUAGGGGGUUUCCGCCCCUUAGUGCUGCAGCUAACGCAUUAAGCACUCCGCCUGGGGAGUACGACCGCAAGGUUGAAACUCAAAGGAAUUGACGGGGACCCGCACAAGCGGUGGAGCAUGUGGUUUAAUUCGAAGCAACGCGAAGAACCUUACCAAAUCUUGACAUCCUUUGACAACUCUAGAGAUAGAGCUUUCCCCUUCGGGGGACAAAGUGACAGGUGGUGCAUGGUUGUCGUCAGCUCGUGUCGUGAGAUGUUGGGUUAAGUCCCGCAACGAGCGCAACCCUUAAGCUUAGUUGCCAUCAUUAAGUUGGGCACUCUAAGUUGACUGCCGGUGACAAACCGGAGGAAGGUGGGGAUGACGUCAAAUCAUCAUGCCCCUUAUGAUUUGGGCUACACACGUGCUACAAUGGACAAUACGAAGGGCAGCGAAACCGUGAGGUCAAGCAAAUCCCAUAAAGUUGUUCUCAGUUCGGAUUGUAGUCUGCAACUCGACUACAUGAAGCUGGAAUCGCUAGUAAUCGUAGAUCAGCAUGCUACGGUGAAUACGUUCCCGGGUCU